UACAGAGGGUGCAAGCGUUUAAUCGGAAUUACUGGGCGUAAAGAGCUCGUAGGCGGUUUGGCAAGUCAGGUGUGAAAACUUCAGGCUCAACCUGGAGAUGCCAACCUGAUACUGCUAUGACUUGAGUCUGGUAGGGGAUCACGGAAUUCCUGGUGUAGCGGUGAAAUGCGCAGAUAUCAGGAGGAACACCGGUGGCGAAGGCGGUGACUGGGCC
rnacentral:rRNA from 1 species